CCUACGGGAGGCAGCAGUGGGGAAUAUUGGACAAUGGGGGCAACCCUGAUCCAGCCAUGCCGCGUGUGUGAAGAAGGCCCUCGGGUUGUAAAGCACUUUCAGUGAGGAAGAACGCCUGGUGGUUAAUACCCAUCAGGAAAGACAUCACUCACAGAAGAAGCACCGGCUAACUCCGUGCCAGCAGCCGCGAUAAUACGGAGGGUGCGAGCGUUAAUCGGAAUUACUGGGCGUAAAGCGCGCGUAGGUGGCUUGAUAAGCCGGUUGUGAAAGCCCCGGGCUCAACCUGGGAACGGCAUCCGGAACUGUCAAGCUAGAGUGCAGGAGAGGAAGGUAGAAUUCCCGGUGGAGCGGUGAAAUGCGUAGAGAUCGGGAGGAAUACCAGUGGCGAAGGCGGCCUUCUGGACUGACACUGACACUGAGGUGCGAAAGCGUGGGUAGCAAACAGGAUUAGAUACCCCGGUAGUC
rnacentral:rRNA from 1 species